CUCUCUCUCUCUCUCUCUCUCUCUCUCUCUCUCUCUGUGGCUAUUCAUACGCAGUUAACGCGUUUGUUUCAUUUUUCAUGUUCUUUGCCUUUCUGCGUGCAAUUACUGCAGUUAUACAGAUCCAGGAUCAACUUGCCUCCUUCGCCUCUGCGUAUUUAGCUCGUUCAGCAGAGGAAGACUAUUGGGGUCUCUGAUUUCAGGUGAAGAAGUGAUUAGUAGCUUAGCAGAGCUUUGAGGGCACAUUAUGUGGAACGGAACUCAGAGUGUGGGUGAAUGUUCUAGCUCAAAUUCCUUGAGUAGUCAGCAGGAUGUUGAGGAUGAUCGGAUGAUUGCUGUUGUACUAUCUGAAGAGUAUGCCAAGUUAGAUGGGGCAGUUGCUAGACGCCUUCCCAAGCUGGCGCCUGUUCCUCAUGUGCCACGAAUAAAUUCCUACAUCCCCAACUUAAGUGAUGCAAGUUUAGAUCACCAACGCCUUCUCCAAAGGCUGAACGUCUAUGGUUUAUAUGAAGUGAAGGUCUCUGGGGAUGGAAACUGCCAGUUUCGUGCACUUUCAGACCAGAUGUACAAGUCGCCUGAGUAUCACAAGUAUAUUCGGAAGGAGGUCGUGAAGCAGCUCAAAGACUGCUGUGCUUUAUAUGAAGGCUAUAUCCCCAUGAAGUAUAAACAUUAUUACAAGAAAAUGGCUAAAUCUGGGGAGUGGGGGGACCAUGUUACUUUACAGGCAGCAGCUGAUAAGUUUGGAGCGAAGAUAUGCCUUUUGACGUCAUUUAGAGAUACUUGUUUUAUUGAAAUCAUGCCACAGUACCAGGCACCUAAACGUGAGCUGUGGUUAAGUUUCUGGUCCGAGGUUCAUUACAAUUCGCUAUACGAUAUCCAAGAUGCUCCAAUUCCCCCAAAGCCUAGGAGGAAACACUGGUUGUUUUAGGUGUUCGUUGUGGCAUAGCUUUCAGGACUUCGAGAGAUUUGAGAUAUCUCUUACAUUAUCUUAUGAGCAAUGUUAUAUACAGUUAUGGAAUUGCAAAUACCGCGCAAUCGCUUUGAAAAAGAAUGGGGUCUACGAUUAAAAAUAAAUCCCUGCUGAAUAUCAGAAUGUUAAGCAAAUUUCCUCAAGCCACGGAGCCCGAAAAAGAAACUUUCGAAUCUGAACUCGGACAGUACCGACCAUUUGUUGAACCGGAUUAAAAUUGAAACGCCAAGGGAGGAAAAACAAAAUUAAGAUACAUAUUAUAUCUUUUACCGUAACGUCAAUUGAUGGUUUCAAUAAGCUAGGAGAUCAAACUGUCGUGAGAGUAGUGACAUGAUUUUAUUCAUUUUUAAAGACUAAAAAGCAUGAUUUAUCAAUUGAUUAGAAUCUUAUAACUCA